AUUGAACGCUGGCGGCAUGCUUUACACAUGCAAGUCGAACGGCAGCGCGGGCUUCGGCCUGGCGGCGAGUGACGAACGGGUGAGUAAUGCAUCGGAACGUGCCCAGUAGUGGGGGAUAGCCCGGCGAAAGCCGGAUUAAUACCGCAUACGACCUGAGGGUGAAAGCGGGGGACCGAAAGGCCUCGCGCUAUUGGAGCGGCCGAUGUCGGAUUAGCUAGUUGGUGGGGUAAAGGCUUACCAAGGCGACGAUCCGUAGCUGGUCUGAGAGGACGACCAGCCACACUGGGACUGAGACACGGCCCAGACUCCUACGGGAGGCAGCAGUGGGGAAUUUUGGACAAUGGGGGCAACCCUGAUCCAGCCAUGCCGCGUGCGGGAAGAAGGCCUUCGGGUUGUAAACCGCUUUUGUUCGGGAAGAAAUCCUCUGGGCUAAUACCCCGGGGGGAUGACGGUACCGGAAGAAUAAGCACCGGCUAACUACGU
rnacentral:rRNA from 1 species